rnacentral:rRNA from 1 species
CCAAUAGCGGAGGAAAAGAAACCAACAGGGAUUGCCCCAGUAGCGGCGAGUGAAGCGGCAAGAGCUCAGAUUUGAAAUCGUGUUUCGGCACGAGUUGUAGAUUGCAGGUGGGAGUCUCGGAUGAGCCGGGUGUCCAAGUCCCUUGGAACAGGGCGCCACUGAGGGUGAGAGCCCCGUGGGACGCCUGGUGUACUCUGUGAGACCCUUCUGACGAGUCGAGUUGUUUGGGAAUGCAGCUCCAAGUGGGUGGUAAAUUCCAUCUAAGGCUAAAUACUGGCGAGAGACCGAUAGCGAACAAGUACUGUGAAGGAAAGAUGAAAAGCACUUUGAAAAGAGAGUGAAACAGCACGUGAAAUUGUUGAAAGGGAAGGGUAUUGGGCCCGACAUGGGGAGUGUGCACCGUUGCCUCUUGCAGGCGGCGCUCUGGACGCUCUCUGGGCCAGCAUCGGUUCUUUGCCGUGGGAGAAUGGGCAUUGGAAAGUGGCUCCUCGGAGUGUUAUAGCCUUUGCCAGACACCACGUGUGGGGACCGAGGACUGCGGCUUCUGUCUCGGAUGCUGGCACAACGGCGCAAUACCGCCCGUCUU